CUAAGCACGAAACUUGCCCCGAGAUGAGUUCUCCCUGAGACUAUAAGUCUCCUGAAGGAACGUUAAAGACGAUGACGUUGAUAGGCCGGGUGUGUAAGCGCAGCGAUGCGUUGAGCUAACCGGUACUAAUGAACCGUGAGGCUUAACCUUACAACGCCGAAG
rnacentral:rRNA from 1 species